rnacentral:rRNA from 1 species
UACGUAGGGCGCAAGCGUUGUCCGGAAUUAUUGGGCGUAAAGAGCUCGUAGGCGGUUUGUCGCGUCGGCUGUGAAAACCCGAGGCUCAACCUCGGGCCUGCAGUCGAUACGGGCAGACUAGAGUGUGGUAGGGGAGACUGGAAUUCCUGGUGUAGCGGUGAAAUGCGCAGAUAUCAGGAGGAACACCGGUGGCGAAGGCGGGUCUCUGGGCCAUAACUGACGCUGAGGAGCGAAGGCGUGGGGAGCGAACAGG